rnacentral:lncRNA from 1 species
CAGUUCCCUCUGUCAUAAUCUGGAAUGAUGAUAUCAAUCAAGUGAAGCAGCUAUCACAGGGUCUGGAACAUAGUACAUCCCAGCCUUCUUGCACAUAGAAACACUACACAGCACUUCAGCUGUAUGUUUGGGGGCCAUUUUAAACAGCAAAAUCAUCAACAGGAAGCAGAAAAUUGUAAAAAUUGUGGCACUAAAUAGACCAUGUAAAGGACACAUGUUUGCAAUAAGAAAGCUGAAACAAGAAGGGGGAGUGUCACCUUAUUUGAUCCAGCUAGAAACUCAGGUGCUGGUAUUCCAGCAACACUCAGGCGGCUGCUCCAGGAGGCUGCAGAGGGGUCCUUUUUAGCCGUCAACAAAACUGGCUAUGGUCACGCCCAUUGGGAAACUCAUUGCUGCCUUCAAGGACUCAGAAGCUGUAGGAAUAUUCAGGCACAGACACCAGACCCAGCUUCAUCUCUAACUUGUGGCAAAGGACAGUACAUCCUGGGAUGGGACCCUAUGCUCCCCUAUGCCAUUUAGACAGAGCCUGGGGAGAGUGACUUCCCAGGGUAUCCAUGUUGGAAUCUCUCAUUUGAUUCUUAUUCAAAUUUAGGUUCUGUCAAUAGAAGAUACUAAAGAAAGAAAGCCAGGAGAAGAAAAGGGACUUCUUUCUUCAAGGUCUAAGCUGUUCUAAUAGCAUUAUUCUGGGAAUGGCAUCUUCCACUCCUCCUAGUACAAAGAACCUGCUUCCUCAUACCCCGUCAAGGAACUGCAGCAUCCAGGUGAUGGCCACAGUGGCAGAACCUAGGAAGCCAAGAAGAAACCAGAGAAUGGAGACACAUGGCAGCAAUGGCAAGUCAUCAGACCCAGGAUUUCCCAAAGAACACUGGUCCAGGAAGAUGCUCUGUGAAAAAGUGUUCCCUGGUCGGAGAAAUUUGUGAAACACUUUGCAUAAUACUUAAAAGAAUGUAUGGCACAUCAAAGGUAAUAUGCAAUAAAAGAAUUCAUUUUUUUAAAA